AGACUGUCCAUUGCGUUUCUUGUGAUCGC
rnacentral:sRNA from 1 species